CUGAAAGCACAGUAAGAGCAACAGAGAAAUCCCCAUAUAAGCUACUGAGAUUUACAUGAGCUGCUAUAAACUGAGAAUUGCAGCCUUACAGCCCAGAACAGAUUACUUUACAUGAUGAUGAUGAUGAUGAUAAUGACGACUAUCACACAGAUGUAUUUGGCAGUACAAAGAUCUGGCAGAUCCACUGUCAUAGCUUCUCCUACUAUUCCAGAGGAUUUCCCUGGCAUUCAUGUGCUGAUCGAAAAGUGUGCAUGAAAUUAAUGCACGUAUGGGAAUCCUAAGCAUGGAGGGGAUCUCACGAGGGCUUGCUCCUACCCUGUAAACCAGACUACGAAAGCUGCAGUGAUGAACAUAAUAUUGACCCGAUGUCUCUAGAGAUCUAGGUGUUCCUUACGCCUUUUAUCCCAAAACAUCCUGCUAUGUAAUAAAAAAAAAAAAAAAAAAAAAAAAAUCCGACAUGCGUUUGAA